rnacentral:rRNA from 1 species
GACGAACGCUGGCGGCGUGCCUAAUACAUGCAAGUAGAACGCUGACUACUUUAGCUUGCUAGAGUAGAAGGAGUUGCGAACGGGUGAGUAACGCGUAGGUAACCUGCCUACUAGCGGGGGAUAACUAUUGGAAACGAUAGCUAAUACCGCAUAACAGUGUUUGACACAUGUUAGAUGCUUGAAAGAUGCAAUUGCAUCACUAGUAGAUGGACCUGCGUUGUAUUAGCUAGUUGGUGGGGUAACGGCCCACCAAGGCGACGAUACAUAGCCGACCUGUGAGGGUGAGCGGCCACACUGGGACUGAGACACGGCCCAGACUCCAACGGGAGGAAGCAGUAGGGAAUCUUCGGCAAUGGGGGCAACCCUGACCGAGCAACGCCGCGUGAGUGAAGAAGGUUUUCGGAUCGUAAAGCUCUGUUGUAAGAGAAGAACGUGCGUGAGAGUGGAAAGUUCACACAGUGACGGUAACUUACCAGAAAGGGACGGCUAACUACGUGCCAGCAGCCGCAGUAA